rnacentral:rRNA from 1 species
UGACGGUAACUUACCAGAAAGGGACGGCUAACUACGUGCCAGCAGCCGCGGUAAUACGUAGGUGGCGAGCGUUGUCCGGAAUUAUUGGGCGUAAAGGGAGCGCAGGUGGGACUUCAAGUCAGUCUUAAAAGUGCGGGGCUCAACCCCGUGAUGGGAUUGAAACUGUAGUUCUUGAGUGCAGGAGAGGAAAGCGGAAUUCCUAGUGUAGCGGUGAAAUGCGUAGAUAUUAGGAGGAACACCAGUGGCGAAGGCGGCUUUCUGGACUGUAACUGACACUGAGGCUCGAAAGCGUGGGGAGCGAACAGGAUUAGAUACCCUG